rnacentral:rRNA from 1 species
CUUCUCUUUCAUCCAUCACACCCCCUGUGCACUUGUGAGACAGCAAUAGUUGGUGGAUUUAAUUCCAUCAUCCAUUUGCUGUCUACUUAAUUUACACACACUCUACUUAAUUUAAACUGAAUGUAAUUGAUGUAACGCAUCUAAUACUAAGUUUCAACAACGGAUCUCUUGGCUCUCGCAUCGAUGAAGAACGCAGCGAAAUGCGAUAAGUAAUGUGAAUUGCAGAAUUCAGUGAAUCAUCGAAUCUUUGAACGCACCUUGCGCUCCUUGGUAUUCCUUGGAGCAUGCCUGUUUGAGUAUCAUGAAAUCUUCAAAGUAAACCUUUUGUUAAUUCAAUUGGUCUUUUUUACUUUGGUUUUGGAGGAUCUUAUUGCAGCUUCACACCUGCUCCUCUUUGUGCAUUAGCUGGAUCUCAGUGUUAUGCUUGGUUCCACUCGGCGUGAUAAGUUAUCUAUCGCUGAGGACACCCGUAAAAAAGGUGGCCAAGGUAAAUGCAGAUGAACCGCUUCUAAUAGUCCAUUGACUUGGACAAUAUUCUAUUUUAUGAUCUGAUCUCAAAUCAGGUAGGACUACCCGCUGAACUUAAGCAUAUCAUAA